CUGGCUUUCAGUCUGUCAAAUAAUUGAUUUCAAAAUAUUACUGUUUGUUUAUAAAGCACUGAAUGGUCUACGGCCAAAAUACAUUUGUGAUAUUCUGCUACAUUAUGAACCAUUCCUACCUCUGAGGU